UACAGAGGGUGCGAGCGUUGUCCGGAAUCACUGGGCGUAAAGGGCGCGUAGGCGGCUCAGUAAGGUUGCGGUGAAAGCCCGGGGCUCAACCCCGGGUCGGCCGUGGCAACUGCUGGGCUGGAGCACUGUAGAGGCAGGUGGAAUUCCGGGUGUAGCGGUGGAAUGCGUAGAGAUCCGGAAGAACACCGGUGGCGAAGGCGGCCUGCUGGGCAGUAGCUGACGCUGAGGCGCGACAGCGUGGGGAGCAAACAGG
rnacentral:rRNA from 1 species